UACGGAGGGUGCGAGCGUUGUCCGGAAUCAUUGGGCGUAAAGGGCACGUAGGCGGCUUGGCAAAUCGGUCGUGGAAUCCCGACGCUUACCGUCGGAACGGCGGCCGAAAAUACCGAGCUCGAGGGCGUGAGGGGUCACUGGAACUCCUGGUGAAGCGGUGAAAUGCGUAGAUAUCAGGAGGAACGCCGGAGGCGAAAGCGAGUGACUGGCGCGUUCCUGACGCUGAGGUGCGAAAGCUAGGGGAGCAAACAGG
rnacentral:rRNA from 1 species